rnacentral:rRNA from 1 species
UACGUAGGCAGCGAGCGUUGUUCGGAAUUACUGGGCGUAAAGAGUGUGUAGGCGGUGCUCUAAGUUCGGUGUGAAAUCUCCUGGCUCAACUGGGAGGGUGCGCCGGAAACUGGAGUGCUUGAGCGUGGGAGAGGAAAGCGGAAUUCCUGGUGUAGCGGUGAAAUGCGUAGAUAUCAGGAGGAACACCUGUGGUGUAGACGGCUUUCUGGACCAUAGCUGACGCUGAGACACGAACGCGUGGGUAGCAAACAGG